UCUACCAAGUGGUCAACACAGAAGCUAUGGCCAACUUCAAAACCAGCUCACGCUCCCAAGUACGAGCCACUUGCACGACUGGCUCUGUGUGGUCACGGCACGGCCAGCAAAGACUGCCGUGGUGAAUUUACCCUUCCUGGCAUGUGAGGAGAGGGCUCACGUUGUGAGGUGACAUGUGCAUGUAUUCCUGUCAUCUGUGCCAGUUACUAGCCAUUUAAGCUCAUUAUCUCUCUGAAGUUCGGUGCCCUCAACUCGAAAACGAGGGUCCCAGCAUCGAGGACUGAAAGUGAAAUCUGCACCAGGUGUUCAACAGAGUCCCCGUCACAUGGAGAGGGCUCAGUAAGCGUGAGCCGCCGACAGAACCACAGCCACGAAGUGGGAACCUGAUCGGCCCCACCCGGACCUCGGAAACGGCGCAGGUCUGUGAGGCAAAAUCACUGCUCUGCAGAGAUCGUAUUGUGUGCAGAGAGUUUCCUUCUUGAGACGCACUGUGUUUGGUGCCAUGAAGAUACAACACGAUGCCCCAGCGUGCCGAGCCUCAGGAGGUCUGCUCCGUCCUGGUGACUCCACCAACGCACGAAUCACACGGCUACGCCAAUGGCCUUGGAAAGAGAUCAGAUCUUCCCAUUCUGACACGUACACACAACCUGUAAAUCUUGUAUUCUGAGUCGGCCCGAACAUAAGGGUUGCAGUAGGUAGAAAUCUGAUACUCUGCUGCUCCGAGGUAAAGAAUACCCAUACGUACCCAACACAAGAACACAGUCGGUGAUCUUCUUAAAUGCGUGAACAUAACGAGGCAACCCCAGGACUGGAUCUACAUUAGACGUGUGGGGGACGAAGCUGGCAUCCAGAACCUGAAGCAACCUCUUCCCUUUGUCGUCUUGCUUCUGUUGUUCAGGGGUCUCCCCCAGAAUCUAAAACUUCAUGCACCCAGACGCUUCAAAGAAGAACCACACUUUUGGGCCACAGCACAGCUUCCAGAGCCUCGGAGCCUGCCGGAGGAUUUUCCUUGCACGGGACCCGCCCACCCGCCAUGAUUUCAGCGUUGCCACAAGAUCCAAAGUAGAAACAGAGCAAAGCCAACUACCACUGGCUGGAAAGGGGUGUUACCACAUCUGGGGAUCAUUCCCUAUGAGACAAAGAGACGUGCUACCAUACAACAGAGGGAAACCGGUGGCGAAGGGAGCCCGCUCCGAGUCCAGACGGAAGUGAAGAGGACGGCUUCGUGGGGAAGGCGGUAUUUCCACCGUCUCUGUAGGAGGGGCUGGCUGGCGCACUGACAGGUGCUCUGCAAACCCUUGAGUACUAAUAUUUGCAAGAAGUAGAUGACAAGCAGCAGAAAACAUUUGUACUUCUUCAACAAGUAUUGUCACUGGCACCAGAAAUCAAGAUUUUCAAUUUGAAGGAUGAUUCACUCUGAGCAGCAAAGAGCAGAUGCCACUUCCCGCCCCCCUCGUUCUGCGAGCUGGCUGCUACCCCAGCAUCUUCUGCCUUCCUUCCAGGGCGCUCCAACUUAGCAACACCCGAGGUCUCCCAAUCAGAAGUCCGCCAAUGAAGUACCCACUUAUGUUCAAGAGCAGGAAGUGUUCUGACUGCCAGGAUGAGAGAAGGGGCCCUGCAAAUAAAGCCUCUCGAGCCGGGGUGGCACUUCAGAGCCCUAAGCCUUGAUGUGACCCCUGAACGCCUCCACCCUGAGCUUGAGAAGAGCAGAGGGGGACAAAGAGACAAGACCCUGCUGAGACCAUUUCUGGUGGGAGCUUGAGGGGAGAGCCUGUUUCCUCUCUGCUGCCCCACGUAGUGUCACCCAAUCCCCAAGGCUAGACAAUGGGCCUCCGGGCUGCAUCAUUGUGCCAACCACAAAUACAACAGAAUUGUUAAUGUUCUGGUCUCUCUCCUGUUCUCUGGUCGCAAAUUGCUAGCUCCCUCCCAGAACUAAGCCUUGCUCAGUACAGGUGUCCUUCUCUGCAUCCACAACAGCAUGCCUGCGGAGGCUUGGAGGCCUCUCAAGUUGGCUCCAUUCUGAAUUUAAGUCCUCCGCUUUAGCUGGAGUCUCAGGCCUGAAUAAUUAGGGGAUCCUUUUCUUUUCUAAGGAUUCUCAAAUACUCAAGAGUUUGAAACAAACAGUAACUUGAAAAAGUAAAGUCUUGUUUGUGGAAACAUCUCCCCCUGGGGAAUUAAUUCUACAGAAGAGGCAUUUAACCUUCAUAUAUAGUGGAAUGUUUAUUCUUAAAGAUUCUAAUUGCAAUGUAAACAUAAAUUCUGAAAUCUCACAGAACUCAUAGGUGCUUGGAAAUUCAGACUCCUCUUGAGGAGCCCAGGUUAAGACUGUGUGUUCAUUAAAUGACCAUCAACUUAACAUAAAUUGCUAUAUACUUAGGAUGUUAUAUAUGAACCUCAUGCUAACAGCAAAUCCCAAACCUAUAACAGACGCACAAAAAAUAGAAAGAAAGCCAAACAUGACAGAGACUCAUCAAUCACAAAAAAAGAGAUCAAGAGAAGAAAGCAAGAGGGAAGAACAACAAAAUCAACCAGAAAACAAUUAACAAAAUGGCAAUAAGUACAUACCUAUUGGUCAUUACUUUAAAUGUAAAUGGCCUAAAUGCUCUAAUUAAAAGACACAGGGGUUGGGAGAGGUGGAUUGAAAAAUAAGACCCAUGUAUAUGCUGUCUAUGAGAGACUAAGCUUGGCCCUAAAGAUACAUACAGACUGAAAGUGAAGAGAUGGAAAAACAUUUAUCAUGCACAUGGGAGUGAAAAAAAGCCAGGGUAGCAAUACUUGUAUCAGACAAAAUAGACUUUAAAACAAAGAUGGUAACAAGACACCAAGAAGGGUAUUACAUAAUGAUAAAGGGAUCAAACAAGGAGAUCUAACAAUUUUAAAUAUCUAUGCACCCAACAUUGGAACACCUAAAUACAUAAAGCCAAUAAUAACUGACAGAGGAAGAAAUGGAUGGUAACACAAUAAUAGAAGGAAGGGGACUUUAACACUCCAUUUACAUCAAUGGCUAGAUCAUCAAACAGGAUCAAUA